AUGUCAAGUCAGUAUGUCCCUUAUACCCAGGGCUACACACGUGUUACAAUGGAUAGUACAAAAAGUAGCAAUUCCGCGAGGAGGAGCCAAUCUUUAAAACUAUCCCCAGUUCAGAUUGAAGUCUGAAAUUCGACUUCAUGAAGCAGGAAUCGCUAGUAAUCGUGGAUCAGCGUGCCACGGUGAAUACGUUCUCGGGCCUU
rnacentral:rRNA from 1 species